GACGAACGCUGGCGGCGUGCCUAAUACAUGCAAGUCGAGCGGACGAAUCGAAAGCUUGCUUUUGAUUCGUUAGCGGCGGACGGGUGAGUAACACGUGGGCAACCUGCCCUGUAGACGGGGAUAACACCGAGAAAUCGGUGCUAAUACCGGAUAACACGAAAUGUCGCAUGACGUUUCGUUGAAAGACGGCGCAAGCUGCCGCUACAGGAUGGGCCCGCGGCGCAUUAGCUAGUUGGUGAGGUAACGGCUCACCAAGGCGACGAUACGUAGCCGACCUGAGAGGGUGAUCGGCCACACUGGGACUGAGACACGGCCCAGACUCCUACGGGAGGCAGCAGUAGGGAAUCUUCCGCAAUGGACGAAAGUCUGACGGAGCAGCGCCGCGUGAGCGAAGAAGGCCUUCGGGUCGUAAAGCUCUGUUGUUAGGGAAGAACAAGUAACGCAGUAACUGGCGUUACCGUGACGGUACCUAACGAGAAAGCCACGGCUAACUACGUG
rnacentral:rRNA from 1 species